rnacentral:lncRNA from 1 species
UACAGUGCGUUUUUUUUACUGAAACAAGAUUAUCACAAGAAGCGAAUCCAUGUUACUACUAUGUAUUGUAUUCAUAACAUUUCUCAUACAGUAUCAUGCUUCAUAUAUCAAUGACAGUCAUCCCAUAAUAAUACAUAUACAUUCAUAUGAUAAUCACUAACAGUCAUAAACAGAGAUGCACCUUCAUUCACUAUUUUGCUAUUGAUGUAUAUUAUAUAACAUUAAAUACUCAUGAACAAGUUUUUCUCUUUAGUGGACAAACAAAAAUAACAUGUAAAUUGAAUCAAAAAAAUUAUCCUAUUAACCUCCAAAACAGAAUCACCAUGUUCAUCUACUCAUAACACUUGGUCAAUCAAAGGUAAUACACAAUUAAUUUGUCAAUGCACUCACACACUUAAUGAAUAAAAGAGGAAUAAAUCCAAGCCAUAUACGAAGUCGCUACUGUCGGCAUGGGACCCAAACGGGAUUAUCCCUUCCUCUAGUCGGAGCUCCACCACGCACGACCAGAUCCGUUCACAUCGCCGGCGUCUUCUCCACGUCCUCGGACUGGGAGAGAGGAGAAGAAGAAGAUGGAAGCAACCCCUAGGGAGGAUUUGUGUCGGCAACCAAGCCAUGAUACUCAGUGCAACACCCACGACCGGUGCUACUAGGGCGAGCCUCCUCCGAUUGGAAAGAAUCUCUCAUGGCCUCAUCCCUUAAUUCAUGAAUUCAUUCUCUUCCAUCAAAGAGGGGGCUGGCGUGUUUCUAAGGGACUCAAUUCCCUUCUUAAGUUUAAG